UUCUUGCUACGAAACAGAUGAAGUGUCCAACUGGGCUGAGGCCACGCAGAAAUGUGCGCUGGCCACCCCGGAUGUAACGUUAGGUUCUGAGGGUUACCGGGCAGAUAUUCAAGAUGAAGACUGGCACGGACAAGUGUGGACUGGUUAUUAUAUGACCAUUCAAGGAUUUGAAUGUAUUGUGCUUUUGCUUAAACAAUGAGUCAUUCAACAAUAAUACACUACCGUACUGUGACAAGAUGUGUGAUGCUCAGAAGGGUAUUGUUUGCGGCGGACAUCAACAUAUGUCUUUAUAUAAAGUAAGCAAUGUAACCGGUGUUAAAAGUAAUGAUCAUAUUGAAAGAAGCUGUCUUGGUCUUGAAUUCCAGCAUGUUUCUAAAAUAUUUAGAUGGAAGCAGUGUAGUAGUUACUUGCGCCCACUCUGUACAUGUGUUGAUUCGAAGACACACACUGGUGACAGACAUUAUCCAUGGAACACUGCGUCAAAUGAAUGUUUCAAGCAACAAACAAUACCUACAUCAUUACAAAGUGCUUUGGAAAAUUAAGACUAUACUGACUGGAAUAUACUGGACAGGGACAAUAAGAAGUCAGACUAUUCAUAAAUA